CUUCCCGGUGGGGCCUGAUGGUCGGCCCAAGGCUUCUUCCCGGUGGGGACUGAUGGUCGGCCCAAGGCUUCUUCCCGGUGGGGCCUGAUGGUCGGCCCAAGGCUUCUUCCAGGUGGGGCCUGAUGGUCGGCCCAAGGCUUCUUCCAGGUGGGGCCUGAUGGUCGGCCCAAGGCUUCUUCCAGGUGGGGCCUGAUGGUCGGCCCAAGGCUUCUUCCAGGUGGGGCCUGAUGGUCGGCCCAAGGCUUCUUCCAGGUGGGGCCUGAUGGUCGGCCCAAGGCUUCUUCCAGGUGGGGCCUGAUGGUCGGCCCAAGGCUUCUUCCAGGUGGGGCCUGAUGGUCGGCCCAAGGCUUCUUCCCGGUGGGGCCUGAUGGUCGGCCCAAGGCUUCUUCCAGGUGGGGCCUGAUGGUCGGCCCAAGGCUUCUUCCAGGUGGGGCCUGAUGGUCGGCCCAAGGCUUCUUCCAGGUGGGGCCUGAUGGUCGGCCCAGCCCGUUCUGGCGCAGGCGAGUGUUUAUAGUGGU